GCUCGGAUGGUGGAAUGGUAGACACUGGGGACUUAAAAUCCCCUGAUCGCAAGGUCGUGCGAGUUCAAGUCUCGCUCUGAGCA
rnacentral:tRNA from 1 species